AUGAACGCUGGCGGCGUGCCUAAUACAUGCAAGUCGAGCGAACGGACGAGAAGCUUGCUUCUCUGAUGUUAGCGGCGGCCGGGUGAGUAACACGUGGAUAACCUACCUAUAAGACUGGGAUAACUUCGGGAAACCGGAGCUAAUACCGGAUGAUAUUUUGAACCGCCUGGUUCAAAAGUGAAAGACGGUCUUGCUGUCACUUAUAGAUGGAUCCGCGCUGCAUUAGCUAGUUGGUAAGGUAACGGCUUACCAAGGCAACGAUGCAUAGCCGACCUGAGAGGGUGAUCGGCCACACUGGAACUGAGACACGGUCCAGACUCCUACGGGAGGCAGCAGUAGGGAAUCUUCCGCAAUGGGCGAAAGCCUGACGGAGCAACGCCGCGUGAGUGAUGAAGGUCUUCGGAUCGUAAAACUCUGUUAUUAGGGAAGAACAUAUGUGUAAGUAACUGUGCACAUCUUGACGGUACCUAAUCAGAAAGCCACGGCUAACUACGUG
rnacentral:rRNA from 1 species